UGACUGACUUCUCGCUGCGCAGUUAGUUUGUUCUGGCAGCAGACGGAGAUGUGCGCACAGACCGCGGGCUGAACUUCUUCCAACACGCUUCUUCGACAGCGUCUAAAAUGCAGCGAGUUCUCCUUUUUCUUCUUCAUCCAAACUAUGUGAGCUGACGGCGGGACGCAAAACCACAUAAACUUCCACACUUGUUAUCUACUGGCUAAUGUUUAGAUAACCUCUUUUUAAUAUGAGUUUUGGGGGUUAACAGCGCGUAUUUCACUGCGUAAACGUGUCCAAAGAGUGCGUAAAAGUGUCCAUCUAGCGCACUACCGCUCGGUUCUUCCCAGGCUGUCUGGCUCCAUACAUGCCUUCUUGGAGACCCCACUGUGCCACUGAGGAGCAGUGAACCAUGCAGCAGGAGCGCCUGCUCAAAGUGUUGGUCAUCGGAGACCUCGGAGUGGGCAAGACGUCCAUCAUAAAGCGCUACGUGCACCAGGUGUUCUCCCAGCACUACCGCGCCACCAUCGGAGUGGACUUCGCCCUCAAAGUGCUCAACUGGGACCAGAGGACGGUGGUGCGGCUGCAGCUGUGGGACAUCGCCGGGCAGGAGCGCUAUGGCAACAUGACCCGUGUGUACUACAGAGAGGCGGUGGGGGCCCUCGUCGUCUUCGACAUGACCCGACUGUCCACGUUUCAGGCCGUCCUCAAGUGGAAAGGAGACCUGGACUCGAAGGUCGCCCUUGGCAACGGGAGGUCGGUUCCAGCUGUGCUGCUGGCCAACAAGUGUGACCAGCGGCGUCACGGUUUGUGCCCCAAGCUGCCCAAACUGGAGAACUUCUCCAGAGAGUACGGCUUCGUCGGCUGGUACGAAACCUCCGCCAAGGACAACACCAACAUUGACGCUGCCAUCACAUGCUUGGUGAAGAACAUCAUGUCUGUGGAGGAGGAGAGAGCCUCGGGCGACGCCGCGGCCACCGCCGCCAGAACCGAGGCGGAAGGCAGCGUCCUGGUUCUGCCUCGCUUCGACUACAACGCGACAGAGAAGGGACUGGGUGGAUGUUCAGGAUGCUCCUCGUUCAGACCCAGAGACAGAGAUGACUGAAGGAAGUGAACUGAAGUUUCAGAUUUUUGGGGAAAGAAAACCAUAAAAUCUAUUGUUAAUGUAUUUUUGUAACAGGAAUUGAAACAAAAGUUUCUUUUUUGUUCAGGCAAAAUGAAACACAAUUGUUUAAAGCUGCAGUUGGUAAUUCUGUUCAGAAAAGUUGUUUUUAUUAUAUUUGUAUCCAAUCUCUUAACAUCCAGACAGUAAUCAAAGUAUAAAAUGAUUUGAGGGGGAAUCAGUCCAUCGUCUCUGGCAACGACAGGGCUGUGACAACUUCAUCCAACCAACUUUAGUGGUGCACAGAUAUUGUGUGGACAGACUACCUGUCAAUCAGUCUGUCCUGACCUGCCCACCCACUCGUGACCAGAGUCUCAACACUGCACUGCCAGACAGAGCAAGACAAGAAAGACCGAACUGGAGCAGGCUACAAACAAAAAGAAGUUGGAGAGCUCAAGAGGUGAAGCGAGAGUCAACAUCAGCUGUUCAUCGAUGGAGACACCUGAUGGAGUCCUGAAGACAGACGCCAUGUUAGCUGUUUCUCUGUUGGACAGUAAAUCCAGUCCAGCAUGAAGAUGCCCUCUGCUGUGAAAAUGCUCAUCAGUCUGCUGCUGAUUGCACACUGUAGCAGAGCCCAGAUAUCCAGCGAUGACUCCAUCCACACCUCCCUCAUCAUGAGUCCUCGCUCCCUCAUCAGCCUCAUGCUGCUGAGCGUGACCGUCGUCCUGUCCUGCGCCAUCUACCUGUGGGUCCUCAGAUAUGUCUGCAUCGGCUGCUGCCAGCCCAUCGCUGUUGGUAGUGAAUCAGAAGACUUGGCUGGCAUGGUGUGAAGCCAUCAGCCGCUGUCUCAGUGGAUCUGAGAAUCACUCUUGUCGAUGCUAGGUCACACAUCAGGAUACGACUCUUUCUUCACAAGUCACAAUGACAUUCUUCAGACCUGUGAAUUGACUGUCUUCACAGCAGAAGUGGGAAUUUUGAAGUGAGAAAUGUCUCACAUUUGACAUAUGAGACAACACAUGUGCCGAUAGUUGAUAGAUAAGUCUUUUUCAUACCUUGUAGGAGACGUACUGUGUGUGAAUUUUGUAUUUUCACGUGAAAGGAAUUUUAACCCGUUUGAAAUUCAUGUCGCUCAGUAAAAUGUGUAAUCUUAGCUGCCCGCCUCCGAGCAAAUAAAAGCUUUAUGGAAGGAUUAAGAGUAGCGACGUUUCCUUCCUGCGCCAGGGCCAGAAGAGAGAGGAGAGAAACUACCACAAAAAUAGACUCAAAUGUGCAGAUUAUUUUGGGUCAGCUCACAAGAAAGCCAACCAAUCUGAAUGGUUCUUCACCAGCUGUGACUAACAACUGCCACUGGAGCAUCACUGGAACAUUCAAUGCAUGGUUAUGUCACCCAGUUAGAACUAAGAGCAAGAUGAAAGAUUUAAAACUUCCAGAGAAAAUAGCUCACAUGAUCGAGAGGUAAAGGGAGGUAUAAAAAACUAAAAUGUUGCUAUGUAUAUUGUUGAGUUGUGCAUCUUAAGCAGAAAUAGACAAUUAGGCCCAAACUGGCUCCUUCAACAGGAGGUCAGACCAUCUCCAUUUGUGAUCAUGGUGAACAAAACAGGUGUUUUAAGACAUUAUGGCAUUGUGCCUAAACCUAAACAGAGCAUUAGCGAAAACUGAUAUUGAUGGGAAGUCAGGAGAUCUUCAGCGAUGUUUGUGUCGACAAAACCAGAUGGUUUUUUUUUUACAAGAAGUCAGGACAAUUUCCAGCUGUGUUUGUGGCAACAAAAGCAGAUAUUUUUGACCAAAAGUCAAGACAUACACAGUUGUCUUUGUGGUGACGAAACAGGCUGUUUUUUUAAACCAGAAGUCAGGACAUCUCCUGUUGUCUUGGUAGCAAACAGAGUUGUAUAUGUUUGAUGGGAUUUCUGGACAAUUUCCAGCUGUGUUUGUGACAACCAAAACAGGUAUUUUAAGCCGAACCAUGAUGUUUUCCACUGUGAAGUGUUUUUUACACCUAUACCUAACCAGAACAUAAGCACAAUGUUGUGACAAAAUAGAAAAUUAGAAUUCAACCAUUACAGACAUAAAGCUGAGGGAGGUGAGACAAAACUGUCCUACUCUCUUCUUUUCUACUGUUUUUCUGUCAGUUCGUUUAAAUAAAUCCUCUGUCAACUGUC